rnacentral:rRNA from 1 species
UACGUAGGGACCAAGCGUUGUUCGGAUUUACUGGGCGUAAAGGGCGCGUAGGCGGUAUGACAAGUCACUUGUGAAAUCUCCGGGCUUAACUCGGAAAGGUCAACUGAUACUGCAGGGCUAGAGUGCGGAAGGGGCAACUGGAAUUCUCGGUGUAGCGGUGAAAUGCGUAGAUAUCGAGAGGAACACCUGCGGCGAAGGCGGGUUGCUGGGCCGACACUGACGCUGAAGCGCGAAAGCUAGGGGAGCGAACGGG